rnacentral:rRNA from 1 species
GAGAUUGGAGGCAGCAGUGGGGAAUAUUGCACAAUGGGGGAAAGCCUGAUCCAGCCAUGCCGCGUGUGUGAAGAAGGCCUUCGGGUUGUAAAGCACUUUCAGUAGGGAGGAAGGCUUUGGGCUAAUACCCUGGAGUACUUGACGUUACCUACAGAAGAAGCACCGGCUAAUUUCGUGCCAGCAGCCGCGGUAAU